rnacentral:rRNA from 1 species
CAGUAGCCGCGGUAAUACGAAGGGGGCUAGCGUUGCUCGGAAUUACUGGGCGUAAAGGGCGCGUAGGCGGACAGUUCAGUCGGGGGUGAAAGCCCGGGGCUCAACCUCGGAAUUGCCUUCGAUACUGGCUGUCUUGAGUAUGAGAGAGGUGUGUGGAACUCCGAGUGUAGAGGUGAAAUUCGUAGAUAUUCGGAAGAACACCAGUGGCGAAGGCGACACACUGGCUCAUUACUGACGCUGAGGCGCGAAAGCGUGGGGAGCAAACAGGAUUAGAUACCCGGGUAGUCCCUGUCUCUUAUAC